rnacentral:rRNA from 1 species
GGUGGGGGAUGGGCUCGCGGCCUAUCAGCUUGUUGGUGAGGUAAUGGCUCACCAAGGCGUCGACGGGUAGCCGGCCUGAGAGGGUGACCGGCCACACUGGGACUGAGACACGGCCCAGACUCUUACGGGAGGCAGCAGUGGGGAAUAUUGCACAAUGGGCGGAAGCNUGAUGCAGCAACGCCGCGUGAGGGAUGACGGCCUUCGGGUUGUAAACCUCUUUUAGCAGGGAAGAAGCGAAAGUGACGGUACCUGCAGAAAAAGCACCGGCUAANUACGUGCCNGCAGCCGCGGUAAUANGUAGGGUGCGAGCGUUNUCCGGAAUUAUUGGGCGUAAAGAGCUCGUAGGCGGUUUGUCGNGUNUGCUGUGAAAUCCCGAGGCUCAACCUCGGGCCUGCAGUGGGUACGGGCAGACUAGAGUGCGGUAGGGGAGAUUGGAAUUCCUGGUGUAGCGGUGGAAUGCGCAGAUAUCAGGAGGAACACCGAUGGNGAAGGCAGAUCUNUGGGCCGUAACUGACGNUGAGGAGCGAAAGGGUGGGGAGCAAACAGGCUUAGAUACCCUGGUAGUCCACCCCGUAAACGUUGGGAACUAGUUGUGGGGUCCUUUCCACGGAUUCCGUGACGCAGCUAACGCAUUAAGUUCCCCGCNUGGGGAGUACGGCCGCAAGGCUAAAACUCAAAGGAAUUGACGGGGACCCGCACAAGCGGCGGAGCAUGCGGAUUAAUUNGAUGCAACGCGAANAACCUNACCAAGGCUUGACAUACACGAGAACGGGCCAGAAAUGGUCAACUCUUUGGACACUCGGAACAGGU